UCAACCUGAGAGUUUGAUCCUGGCUCAGAGCGAACGCUGGCGGCAGGCCUAACACAUGCAAGUCGAACGGACCCUUCGGGGUUAGUGGCGGACGGGUGAGUAACACGUGGGAACGUGCCUUUAGGUUCGGAAUAGCUCCUGGAAACGGGUGGUAAUGCCGAAUGUGCCCUUCGGGGGAAAGAUUUAUCGCCUUUAGAGCGGCCCGCGUCUGAUUAGCUAGUUGGUGGGGUAAUGGCCCACCAAGGCUACGAUCAGUAGCUGGUCUGAGAGGAUGACCAGCCACAUUGGGACUGAGACACGGCCCAAACUCCUACGGGAGGCAGCAGUGGGGAAUCUUGCGCAAUGGGCGAAAGCCUGACGCAGCCAUGCCGCGUGUAUGAUGAAGGUCUUAGGAUUGUAAAAUACUUUCACCGGUGAAGAUAAUGACUGUAGCCGGAGAAGAAGCCCCGGCUAACUUCGUGCCAGCAGCCGCGGUAAUACGAAGGGGGCUAGCGUUGCUCGGAAUUACUGGGCGUAAAGGGAGCGUAGGCGGACAUUUAAGUCAGAGGUGAAAUCCCGGAGCUUAACUUCGGAACUGCCUUUGAUACUGGGUGUCUUGAGUGUGAGAGAGGUAUGUGGAACUCCGAGUGUAGAGGUGAAAUUCGUAGAUAUUCGGAAGAACACCAGUGGCGAAGGCGACAUACUGGCUCAUUACUGACGCUGAGGCUCGAAAGCGUGGGGAGCAAACAGGAUUAGAUACCCUGGUAGUCCACGCCGUAAACGAUGAUUGCUAGUUGUCGGGAAGCUUGCUUCUCGGUGACGCAGCUAACGCAUUAAGCAAUCCGCCUGGGGAGUACGGUCGCAAGAUUAAAACUCAAAG
rnacentral:rRNA from 1 species